rnacentral:rRNA from 1 species
GACGAACGCUGGCGGCGUGCCUAAUACAUGCAAGUAGAACGCUGAAGAAAGGAGCUUGCUUCUUUUGGAUGAGUUGCGAACGGGUGAGUAACGCGUAGGUAACCUGCCUUGUAGCGGGGGAUAACUAUUGGGAACGAUAGCUAAUACCGCAUAACAGCUUUUGACACAUGUUAGAAGCUUGAAAGAUGCAAUUGCAUCACUACGAGAUGGACCUGCGUUGUAUUAGCUAGUAGGUAGGGUAACGGCCUACCUAGGCGACGAUACAUAGCCGACCUGAGAGGGUGAUCGGCCACACUGGGACUGAGACACGGCCCAGACUCCUACGGGAGGCAGCAGUAGGGAAUUUUCGGCAAUGGGGGCAACCCUGACCGAGCAACGCCGCGUGAGUGAAGAAGGUUUUCGGAUCGUAAAGCUCUGUUGUAAGAGAAGAACGUGUGUGAGAGUGGAAAGUUCACACAGUGACGGUAACUUACCAG